rnacentral:rRNA from 1 species
UUGGAGGGCAAGUCUGGUGCCUGCAGCCGCGGUAAUUCCAGCUCCAAUAGCGUAUAUUAAAGUUGUUGCAGUUAAAAAGCUCGUAGUUGAAUUUCGGGAUCAGUUGGUCGGUCGUGCCUCGGUACGUACUGGUCAAAUUGAUUCCUACCUUCUGACGAACCACGAUGUCAUUAAUUUGGUGUCGCGGGAAAUCAGGACUGUUACUUUGAAAAAAUUAGAGUGUUUAAAGCAGGCUCGCGCUUGAAUACAUUAGCAUGGAAUAAUGAAAUAGGACGUUUGAUUCUAUUUUGUUGGUUUCUAGGAUCGACGUAAUGAUUAAUAGGGAUAGUUGGGGGCAUUAGUAUUCAAUUGUCAGAGGUGAAAUUCUUGGAUUUACUGAAGACUAACUACUGCGAAAGCAUUUGCCAAGGAUGUUUUCAUUAAUCAAGAACGAAAGUUAGGGGAUCGAAGACGAUCAGAUACCGUCGUAGUCUUAACCAUAAACUAUGCCGACUAGGGAUCGGAUGAUGUUAAUUUUUUAAUGACUCAUUCGGCGCCUUACGGGAAACCAAAGUGUUUGGGUUC